AGUGGGUUGGCUCAGUGGUUAGAGGUUAGAUCUCGUAACCGAAAGAUCGCGAGAUCGAAUCCCGCUAGAGGUUG
rnacentral:tRNA from 1 species